UACAGAGGGUGCGAGCGUUAGUCGGAAUUACUGGGCGUAAAGCGCGCGUAGGUGGUCUUGUAAGUCGGAUGUGAAAUCCCCGGGCUCAACCUGGGAACUGCAUUUGUGACUGCAUGGCUAGAGUACGGUAGAGGGGGAUGGAAUUCCGCGUGUAGCAGUGAAAUGCGUAGAUAUGCGGAGGAACACCGAUGGCGAAGGCAAUCCCCUGGACCUGUACUGACGCUCAUGCACGAAAGCGUGGGGAGCAAACAGG
rnacentral:rRNA from 1 species